UAUACGCAUAUAAAUAUCCAGCGUGAGAUCGCCGCCGCCGCCUCCACAGAUUUCCACUCCGUCAACUUCGACGGCGGAGAUCGUGGGGCCAACAUCAAUUUUUCAAGUCGGGGAGCCUAGCCGCAAACGGCGUCGAUAGUCAUCGGCUCAACAGAAGGAAGUGGAGAGCGACGCGGAGCUAGGGUUUUUCUUUGACGCAUUUUGUCGAACACUUGGUGGGUUUGUACGAGGGAGUGCGAGAUAUCGGUUUCAGAUCGUGAUUUGUGCUCUGCUUUCCACGGGACUUCCAUUUGGCGAGGGGAACAUGAACAGGACAUCAUGUGCCACUAUGUUGAGUCAUCUCGGGAAAUGCGGUCCAGUACAAGGAGGUAAAAAGUAGGUGAAGGUCUCUACUUAUAGUGCCGACACUAUGAUAUCUUCUAUCAUCAUGAGAAAGAUCUAUUCACAGGUACAAUGAAUCUCACCAGCUUACCUACAAUUAUACAAUCACAUGAGGAUGAAAAACAUUAUAUGAUUAGGGAGAAGAUGUUGAUAUUUGGUUACUAUUUCUCCUUCGGGUGACCUUAAAUUGGAAGUUUCCUAUUUUUCAAGGGCGAUGAUCUUUUUGUCA